rnacentral:misc_RNA from 1 species
AGCAGUUCAUUUGAAAAGUAACACAUAGAAAUAUCACACAGACAACUAACAAUGACAGCUAGGGCAGAAGAGGGGAAAGGUAACAGAACUCUACCAAGCAGCAUACCUACUAUCAGUACGAGAUGAUUUAUUCCCUCACAUCUCCUGCUGCUGGUCGUCCUCUUCAUCCUCAUAAUCGCCCUCCUCAUCAACAGUAGCAUCUUGGUACUGCUGAUACUCGGAGACGAG